UACGGAGGGUGCAAGCGUUGCUCGGAAUUAUUGGGCGUAAAGCGCACGUAGGUGGUCUAUCAAGUCAGGGGUGAAAGCCCUGGGCUCAACCCAGGAAGUGCACUUGAAACUGACGGGCUAGAGUACUGGAGAGGUUGGUGGAAUUCUCGGUGUAGAGGUGAAAUUCGUAGAUAUCGCGAGGAACACCGGUGGCGAAGGCGGCCAACUGGACAGAUACUGACGCUGAGACUCGAAAGCGUGGGGAGCAAACAGG
rnacentral:rRNA from 1 species